AGCAGCCGCGGUAAUUCCAGCUCCAAUAGCGUAUAUUAAAGUUGUUGCAGUUAAAAAGCUCGUAGUUGAAUUUCGGGAUUAGUAGUCUGGUCGUGCCACUGGUAUGUACUGGUCUUACUGAUUUCUCCUUCCUGAAGAACUGUAAUGUCAUUAAUUUGGUGUUGCGGGGAAUCUGGACUGUUACUUUGAAAAAAUUAGAGUGUUUAAAGCAGGCUAACGCUUGAAUACAUUAGCAUGGAAUAAUGAAAUAGGACGAUCGAUCCUAUUUUGUUGGUUUCUAGGAUUGACGUAAUGAUUAAUAGGGAUAGUUGGGGGCAUUAGUAUUCAAUUGUCAGAGGUGAAAUUCUUGGAUUUAG
rnacentral:rRNA from 1 species